UGGGGAAUAUUGCACAAUGGGCGAAAGCCUGAUGCAGCGACGCCGCGUGAGGGAUGACGGCCUUCGGGUUGUAAACCUCUUUCAGCAGGGACGAAGCGCAAGUGACGGUACCUGCAGAAGAAGCACCGGCUAACUACGUGCCAGCAGCCGCGGUAAUACGUAGGGUGCAAGCGUUGUCCGGAAUUACUGUGCGUAAAGAGUUCGUAGGCGGUUUGUCGCGUCGUUUGUGAAAACCAGCAGCUCAACUGCUGGCUUGCAGGCGAUCAGGGCAGACUUGAGUACUGCGGGGGAGACUGGAAUUCAUGGUGUAGCGGUGAAAUGCGCAGAUAUCAGGAGGAACACCGGUGGCGAAGGCGGGUCUCUGGGCAGUAACUGAAGCUGCGCACAGAAAGCGUGGGUAGCGAACAGG
rnacentral:rRNA from 1 species